GUGGGGAAUAUUGGUCAAUGGGCGAGAGCCUGAACCAGCCAAGUAGCGUGCAGGACGACUGCCCUAUGGGUUGUAAACUGCUUUUAUGCGGGGAUAAAGUGAGGGACGUGUCCCUUUUUGUAGGUACCGCAUGAAUAAGGACCGGCUAAUUCCGUGCCAGCAGCCGCGGUAAUACGGAAGGUCCGGGCGUUAUCCGGAUUUAUUGGGUUUAAAGGGAGCGCAGGCCGAUGGUUAAGCGUGACGUGAAAUGUAGCCGCUCAACGGCUGAACUGCGUCGCGAACUGGCUGUCUUGAGUGAGUACGACGUCAGCGGAAUUCGUGGUGUAGCGGUGAAAUGCUUAGAUAUCACGAAGAACCCCGAUUGCGAAGGCAGCUGACGAGUCCUUUACUGACGCUAAAGCUCGAAGGUGCGGGUAUCGAACAGG
rnacentral:rRNA from 1 species